CUUCCCUUCUUGCGGUUGUUACAUUUACAUGUGGGAAACUCAGGGAAGAUCCCUGGUCUCGAAAACCCAUGAGUGCUGGUCACUCUGCCGGGCUUCUGGGUCCCAAUGGCCAUUUGGAGCCAUCAUGCUUCCGGAGUCCGUGGGGCAACAUCACCGCGUCACCUGCAGGGGCAGCAGAGUGAACUGCGGACCCCCGGAGUGACGCCCCAGCCUUUCUCCUCCAACCCGGCUUUAAACUGCGCAAAGCAAAGGGCGCAAACUGGAGACGGGUGGAUUCUGCUGGCAGACCCGAGCUGGAACCUGGCCAUAUGGUAACGGUGCGCAGCCAGGGUUCCGUCGGUCCCGUGGCGGAGGUCGGCCCCGAUGUCUCUUCCUUGGUCCCCCGAGCAUCCAACACUUACAGCCUCAUGAACUCUCAAAGCCACCGAUCCUGCAAAUUAACUAUUUCCCCGCUAUUAAUUUUCAGUAUAUUCUACCUUAAUUCCGGAUGAUAGACUUUUGACAUUUUUCCACCUUUAAACGGCGACUUAACAAAUGUUUCCAAUUCCCGCCUUUUUCAUUCACCUCUCACAACUACCCUAUAAGAG